UGUCUAAAACACCAAAUUUUAUAAAUUUUAAAUAAACAUAAUUUAAAUAGCUACAUGUGGCUGGUGUCUACCAUAUUUAGAGAGUACAGGUCUAUUCCAAGGAACAGAAUUAUUAGAUAAUCAGGUAUGCAUAUUUAAGCAUUACUAGCUAAUGUAGAAUUGCUCUCCAGAAUAGACUCCAAUGUUUGUUUUCAACUGCCUGUAAUAUGCAAUGAUCUAUUUCCCCAUCUCCUUGGCUAUAUACUUAGUUUUAUUAGUUUAUACAUUUUUUAGAUAAUUUGAUGAGUAUAAAAUUGUAUCUCAUUAACGGUUGAUUUGUAAUUCCCUUUGUGGUGCUGUAAUACUCAUACAUCUAUCAAGGACUCUUUUUUCCUCCCUUUAAAAUUAUCUACUUAUUUUUUCUUUGUAAGCGUCAUCUUUUUUUCAUUGUGGGAGUUCUUCAUAAACUUGUCAUUUUACUUGAUAAAAGGUCAUACUUAAAAGUCUGAGGCUUCUCAUUCACUUGAAUCUGUAGUCUUUUGUUACAUAGUUGUUUAAAUUUUUGAUACAUAUCUAUAUUUUCCCUCAUUGUUUCAAGUGUUAGUGCCUUUCCUAAGGAACCUUUUCUUAUUAUGAUGUCACAAAUGUAUUCUGCUAUGUCUACUGGGAGAAUACACUAGUGGGGAUAGUUCUGUGUAUACAGUGAUUAAGCACAUAGGUUCUGGAGCCAGUCUGUUUCUUUCAAAAUCACCUCAUUGCUUUUGAAGAAUCAGGGAAACCCCCAUGAGACUACAGGUGUGAAGCAAGAUAGAAGCAUCAGUGCAAAAGAGAUUCUCUUACUGAGAUACCUUGGAACAUGGUUUGAAUAAUAUUGCUCUAACUUCUUUCAUGUCAGGAAGCUCUGAGUUGCCAUAGACUUGCGGAAAUGCCUGCUACAUACAUGCGUGUUGAACAAUGAACUUCAUAACUGACAUAUUUAUCAGAGAAUCAGGAUGAGAGAAGAUGCAGAAACACAGAAAGGAAGAGGAUUAGCAACUUUCCCAGAUCUGAGUUGAGCUGAGAUUUGAGUCAAGGCAAUAUUGCUUCUGGGGCUGUAACAACUACAUUUUAUUGUCUCCUGAACAGAUACUUCCUUUUCUUACUUAAUAAGAAUAGACCUUGGAGGUCUGGACCUGGACAUGAACGUACACUUUUCUAAAGAAGAUAUACACAUGGCCAACAAGCAUGUGAAAAAAAGCUCAAUAUCACUGAUCAUUAGAGAAAUGCAAAUGAAAAUCACAAUGAGAGACCAUCUCACACCAGUCAGAAUGGCUAUUAUUAAAAACUCAAAAAAUAACAGAUGCUGGCGAGGUUGCAGAGAAAAGGGAACACUUAUACACUGUUGGUGGGAGUGUAAAUUAGUUCAACUAUUGUGUAAAGCAAUAUGUCAAUUCCUCAAAGAGCUAAAAAAGAACUACCAUUGGACUCAGCAAUCCCAUUACUGGGUAUAUACUCAGAGGAAUAUAAGUCACUCUACUAUAAACACACACGCAUGCAAAUUUUCAUUGUAGCACUAUUUACAAUAGCAAAGACAUGGAAUCAACCUAAAUGCUCAUCAAUGACAGAUCGGAUAAAGAAAAUAUGCAUCUUCAACCUUUCUGGACUACAGCACCUGCCAACUGACCCCCACAUCAUGGCUCCAACGCUGGCUUCAUCACAUAUCUUCUCUCUCAGUCCCUUUGGCUCUCAGGGUGCAAUAGCUUAACAAAAUUGCUGAUCUAGGUGCCUCAGCAUUGUUUCUUUGUCAUAGUCUCUGUAUUAUCUUAUUUUGAGCCAUUCUUUUCCUGCAAAGAUCCUAACUGAAUGAGAUAACUACUUCAUAAGCUAUUUGUAAGGUUUAAAUAAAUUAAUGCAUAUUUAAUACAUGAAGCUGUGCCUAGUUUAUAGUAAUUACUCAAAAAUGUUACUUAUUUCUCCAUCCAAAACAUACAAACAAUAGUAUAUCCUUCAUGAGGACUUCUUGUGGACUAAAAAGGCAGUAUCUUUAAAGUGUUUUGCAGUCUCUGACAAAACCACACUAUUACCCUUACUCAAGGUUUUAAUUGAUUGUAUGUACACAAGGUUAGUCUAUAUGAGCUUUGGAAAGAUGGGAAAUUCAAAGUAGAACAGUUAAGGAAGGAAAGUGUAUGUUCCACUAAUAAAAUAUAUAUUAGUUCCUGUAAUCAGAUUGUGAGUGACAAUGGAAUCCAGUGGACCCAUUUUGCCCUCAGACAGAUGGCUGAGAAAUUGCUGGUGUGGCAAGCAAGCAACUCUGACUGCAAAAUGGCAGACUCAUUUGCUUGGGGGACAGGAAUGAGGGAUGGUUCACAUGGGAAGCACAAAGUCACCCUUGAUGAAAGUUCAGAGAAGAAAGAGAUCAUCAAACUUACUCUAAUUACCAAAAGGUGAUGACAUUAGCAGAAGAAUUAGAGUUUGAAAUAGUACUUUUGGUAGAGAGGACUGAUUUCUAAGAAAGCCCAUACUCAUGAUACAAAGGCAGUUGGUGGGCCCCAAAGCAGAAUAGCUGCCUCAGGUGGGCAAGUAGCUAAAGUUCACCAAGCACUGUGUCCCAAAACUCACAUACACGCUAUACCUACCUGCAUCCCAUGAUGCCAGGAGAGCCACAUUUCUGUGGCAAGGGACAGUGAACAGAGAGGAGCCAACAUGGGAAUGAGAAACAGAGUUAUAAACAAAAAGCAAGAGAGGAACCCUCAGGGUAACAGAAUCAGUCACUC
rnacentral:lncRNA from 1 species